GAUGAAGAACGUAGCGAAAUGCGAUAAGUAAUGUGAAUUGCAGAAUUCAGUGAAUCAUCGAAUCUUUGAACGCACAUUGCGCCCGCCAGUAUUCUGGCGGGCAUGCCUGUUCGAGCGUCAUUUCAACCAUCAAGCCCCAGGCUUGUGUUGGGGACCUGCGGCUGCCGCAGGCCCUGAAAACCAGUGGCGGGCUCGCUGUCACACCGGGCGUAGUAGAUUUUAUCUCGCUCAGGGCGUGCUGCGGGUUCCGGCCGUUAAAAAGCCUUUUUUACCCAAGGUUGACCUCGGGUCAGGUAGGAAGACCCGCUGAACUUAAGCAUAUCAAUAACGGAGGA
rnacentral:misc_RNA from 1 species